GUGAGGAAUAUUGGACAAUGGGCGCAAGCCUGAUCCAGCCAUGCCGCGUGCAGGAAGACGCAUCUAUGGUGUGUAAACUGCUUUUGUACGGGAAGAAACACUCCCUCGUGAGGGAGCUUGACGGUACCGUAAGAAUAAGGAUCGGCUAACACCGUGACAGCAGCCGCGGUAAUACGGAGGAUACAAGCGUUAGCCGGAAUAAUUGGGUUUAAAGGGUCCGUAGGCGGUUUAAUAAGUCCGUGGUGAAAUCCCAUCGCUCAACGAUGGAACGGCCAUUGAUACUGUUAGACUUGAAUUACAAGGAAGUAACUAUAAUAUGUAGUGUAGCGGUGAAAUGCUUAGAUAUUACAUGGAAUACCAAUUGCGAAGGCAGGUUACUACUUGUGGAUUGACGCUGAUGGACGAAAGCGUGGGGAGCGAACAGGAUUAGAUACCCGGGUAGUCC
rnacentral:rRNA from 1 species